CUGUGCUGAUCACGUGCCUGUACACAAACCCGCCGCAGCUCACUUGCAAAAGAUUAUCCUGUUAUUUAUUACACGUAUAGUAAACGUUUUUAAUGUUAUCAUGAAUCAAUGUUAUAGUUUUGUAUGUCACAUUAUUUUUUGAGAAGAGUCAUGACUCAACGCGGACCUUACACGCUGUUAAUUUGUGUGUGCAUAUGGCGGUACAGGCUCUUUUGCACUCUAUGACCAGCCAUCAUUAAAUCGAAAUACAGUAAAAAAAAAAAAUGAGCGCGAAACCCUGACACUUUACAGAAAGGCACGGAUAUCCCCGCCCGAAGAAAAAAAGAGCACAGGACAAUGGUUGCAAGUUAAACAGCUGAACAUUUCACCAUCGACAUAUCAACAUAAACGGUCCUCUUUUUCGAGUUUGACUGCGUUUGGUACAGGUCACAACAACAACGGCAGAUGUAGAGACCACACUUUCCCUUGCUUCCACUCCACGGCUGAUCAUGCUUGGUCACAACAACAACGGCAGAUGUAGAGACCACGCUUUCCCUUGCUUCCAUUCCACGGCUGAUCAUGCUUGGUCACAACAACAACGGCAGAUGUAGAGACCACGCUUUCCCUUGCUUCCAUUCCACGGCUGAUCAUGCUUGAGGAUCCAGAUCUACAAAACAAAAAAUGGAUGCUGCCGAUUGAAGGCUAAGUCCGCUUUCCUGCGAUUGACCUACCAUUUCUUCAGCAUUUGCUGUUCACUUUGGUUGCUACUACGUGCUCAACAUCGAGUACCAAGUGGAAGCAGCCACUACUUUGGAGUUUAUUCAGAGAUUUAUUGUGAGGAUCAGCCCCAGCAAGUGCUCCUCUAACUUCCAGGUGAGCAAAAGAAGUGGGAAGAUGGUGCAAAGGAGGAACUCUGGCCUGAACCAUCAUGUAUAUAUCCACCUUUAUUAAGGACUUUAUGAAUUAAGCAAAACUAUUAAGCAACUAAAGCAAAUACAUUCUACUCAACUCACCAGAGGUUUGUGAAAUUCUUUUUUAUCUUAAAGGUUUCUUUUAGUUAAUUUGUCCAUGCACUGAUUUAUAAUAUUGUAAUAUGAAACUCCAGUGUAUACAUGUUACUACUGUUGCUUCUAAAAGCAAAAUAAGUCUAUGCAGGAGAGGUUUUGUUACGUUUUUUUUUUUUAAUUAUUCUUAUAGACGGUUUCAUCGGACGCACAUGACACACGUCUGGAUCCGAACCUUACUUCCGGUUUCGCUUUUUUAAUGGUCUGACUAGUUGCUAAACUGAUUUCUUGAACAAAAGCCUCGUCGAAAAUAACAAAUGUUUUGGUUUCCGAGCUAAUCUAUGUGUUGUUUUUUUGCUUGUUAUAUAAAUAAAAUGCGUUUAAAGAACUUUGUUGUUUUUUAUUCUUAGCGGAGUUUAUCGGAAGUUCAUGCGGACCGCGACAGCCGCUUGUUUAUGUUGUUACUGAUGAAACCGUCUAUAGUUAUAACUGAAUUUGUACUAGUAUUAUUUGAUAAUACUGUGAAAUGAAACAAUGAGUAAAUGUAACAUUGGCUUUGAAAAAGCUGUUGCUGCAAGAAAUUACAAUUUACUCAGAAUAAUAUUUUGAAUGUAUACGUUUUUGACAUUGCUUAUGACUACAUUUGAAUGUAUUGUUCAUGAAUUGAUGCUGUGAUAUGUGUGUGUAAAUGUUUUGUGUGUUACAGGAGAAAAGAUUUUAUUUUACUCAGGAAAGUAUUUUGUAUUUGAACAUUGUUAUUAUGACUGAGUUAGUUCAUGACUUGAUUUAAAAUUCUGUAAUAUGAUAUCUAUGAGUAAAUGUUAUUGCAGGUUUAAGAAAAACAGUUUGUGAUGCAAGCUGAAAGUUCAGUGUGCAAAAAUAUGAAAAUCUGAUUUCAUGUUUUUGAAAAACUAAAUUAAAUUUUAAAAGCAUGUUGUCAUUGCUUAUUUUUGUGAUUUACUUAGAGCUGUUUUAACACCUCCAUUUAAAUUCUGUGCAGUUUUGUAGUAAAUAGAAAUGGGAAAAUGAAUCACAGGAAAUUUUACGGUAAAAUACACAUUGUAAUAUAUACAUUGUAGUAUAAAAUUAUUGUAUAUUUUACAGUAGAAAAUAUAAAAUACUGUAAAUACAGUUACAGCAUGUUAAACAAUACUGUAAAAUGUAUACAGUAUUUUAAAUAGUACUGUAAAUUUGUAUACAGUAUUUUAAAUAGUACUGUAAAACUGUAUACAGUAUUUUAAAUAGUACUGUAAAACUGUAUACAGUAUUUUAAAUAGUACUGUAAAACGGUAUACGGUAUUUUAAAUAGUACUGUAAAAAUGCAUACAGUACUUUAAAUAGUACUGUAAAAUUGUAUACAGUAUUUUUACUGUAUGUUAAUUUACAGUAAGUUGCUGGCAACCAGCUGCCAGUAAGUUACUGUAAAUUCUACAGGAAAUUUUUUACAG